CAUUGACGUCAUCAGUGACGUCAUCGACGACGUCGUCAAUGGAGGAGGAGGAGGAAGGGGAGAUCCCCUCCCCCAUGGGCCCCAUUGGGGACCCCCAUUGAAGACGGGUCCCCCCAUCCCCCCCCAUAACCAUUGAUGAGGCCAUUAAAGCCAUUGAUCAGC